GGUCCCGUUGGUGUAGUGGGUUAACAUUGCCUGCCUGUCACGCAAGGAGAUCGCCGGUUCGACCCCGGUCCGGGACCGCCA
rnacentral:tRNA from 1 species